UGGAUAUUGAGGGCUCAAUGUAAACUGGUUGCAUCUGAUGAGAACAGCAGUUCAACAACACCUGCAAGGCAGUCUACUGAGUUAAACCAAAACACUAGAAGCAUCUGGCGAAUCAACAACUUGCCAAGACUUCCCUAACACCUCCAACCAAACACACAGUGGGAAGAUUCUUGGUUCCAUUUUGCAGACUUGGCCCAGAGUUAGGG